rnacentral:rRNA from 1 species
UACGAACUGUGCGAACGUUAUUCGGAAUCACUGGGCUUACAGGGUGCGUAGGCGGCUAUUCAGGUCAGGUGUGAAAGCCCCCGGCUCAACCGGGGAACUGCGCUUGAAACCGAAUGGCUCGAGUCAGCUAGAGGUACACGGAACUUCCAGUGGAGCGGUGAAAUGUGUUGAUAUUGGAAGGAACACCAGAGGCGAAAGCGGUGUACUGGGGCUGGUCUGACGCUGAGGCACGAAAGCCAGGGGAGCGAACGGG